rnacentral:rRNA from 1 species
CUCCGUAGGUGAACCUGCGGAGGGAUCAUUACACAAAUAUGAAGGCGGGCUGGAACCUCUCGGGGUUACAGCCUUGCUGAGUUAUUCACCCUUGUCUUUUGCGUACUUCUUGUUUCCUUGGUGGGUUCGCCCACCACUAGGACAAACAUAAACCUUUUGUAAUUGCAAUCAGCGUCAGUAACAAAUUAAUAAUUACAACUUUCAACAACGGAUCUCUUGGUUCUGGCAUCGAUGAAGAACGCAGCGAAAUGCGAUAAGUAGUGUGAAUUGCAGAAUUCAGUGAAUCAUCGAAUCUUUGAACGCACAUUGCGCCCUUUGGUAUUCCAAAGGGCAUGCCUGUUCGAGCGUCAUUUGUACCCUCAAGCUUUGCUUGGUGUUGGGCGUCUUGUCUCUAGCUUUGCUGGAGACUCGCCUUAAAGUAAUUGGCAGCCGGCCUACUGGUUUCGGAGCGCAGCACAAGUCGCACUCUCUAUCAGCAAAGGUCUAGCAUCCAUUAAGCCUUUUUUUCAACUUUUGACCUCGGAUCAGGUAGGGAUACCCGCUGAACUUA